GUAGGUAUAGCUCAGUGGCAGAGCGCAUGCUCAGCAUGCACGCAGUCCUGGGUUCAAUCCCCAGCACCUCCA
rnacentral:tRNA from 1 species